rnacentral:rRNA from 1 species
AGCGGCAGGCUUAACACAUGCAAGUCGAGGGGCAACACGGGUAGCAAUACCUGGUGGCGACCGGCGCAAGGGUGCGUAACGCGUGAGCAACAUGCCCUAUACAGGGGGAUAAUCCAGGGAAACUUGGUCUAAUAUCCCAUAGUAUUUAGAGGAGGCAUCUUCUAUAAAUUAAAGCUUCGGUGGUAUAGGAUUGGCUCGCGUGACAUUAGCUAGAUGGUGAGGUAACGGCUCACCAUGGCAAUGAUGUCUAGGGGUUCUGAGAGGAAGGCCCCCCACACUGGGACUGAGACACGGCCCAGACUCCUACGGGAGGCAGCAGUGAGGAAUAUUGGACAAUGGAUGGAAAUCUGAUCCAGCCAUGCCGCGUGCAGGAAGACAGCCCUAUGGGUUGUAAACUGCUUUUAUAUGGGAGCAAUAAGGUCUACGUGUAGACUGAUGAGAGUACCAUAUGAAUAAGCAUCGGCUAACUCCGUG